AACCUCCGCAAUGUGAGAAAUCGCGACGGGGGGAUCCCAAGUGCCAUUCUUAACGGGAUGGCUUUUCAUUAGUGUAAAGAGCUUUUGGAAUAAGGGCUGGGCAAGACCGGUGCCAGCCGCCGCGGUAACACCGGCAGCUCUAGUGGUAGCAGUUUUUAUUGGGCCUAAAGCGUCCGUAGCCGGUUUAAUAAGUCUCUGGUGAAAUCCUGUAGCUUAACUGUGGGAAUUGCUGGAGAUACUAUUAGACUUGAGACCGGGAGAGGUUAGAGGUACUCCCAGGGUAGAGGUGAAAUUCUGUAAUCCUGGGAGGACCGCCUGUUGCGAAGGCGUCUAACUGGAACGGUUCUGACGGUGAGGGACGAAAGUUAGGGCGCGAACCGGAUUAGAUACCCGGGUAGUCCUAACCGUAAACGAUGCGGACUUGGUGUUGGGGUGGCUUUGAGCUGCUCCAGUGCCGAAGGGAAGCUGUUAAGUCCGCCGCCUGGGAAGUACGGUCGCAAGACUGAAACUUAAAGGAAGU
rnacentral:rRNA from 1 species